CAAGGAGGAUGCUUUUCUGAGAAAUAUUCUAGAUGACUUGAUUGAAGGAGGCUCCACUGUGAUCUGAGCCAGAUAUGUUUACCCUAAGAGGACUCACGCUUAUCAUCCAGCACAAUGGUGUCCUCUUACUAGAAUUAGCAUCUGCUGGAUCACUGACUGCAUUUCCACAGAACACAGAACAAAGCGGUUAAGAUCCAGGGCAUUGAGCCACGCCUUAAAUCGAAGCAUUGUCCACCUUCUAACCCCAAGCAGACACCAAGAGGGAGCCAACAACAGGGAUCCUGAGAGGCAAAGGGAGUCCAAGGAGCUAUGGGGAGAACUUUCCAUCUUUGGGGAUGAGAAUGUGAAGCAUCAAUUUAUGUGAAAACUACUGCUUGAUUAAAGACAAGAUUUUUGAAAGCCAUCCUGUAAAACACCCUGUCCCACACAUUGUUAAAGGUGAGAUCACGUGAUGAUGGAGAAGGUCACCAGAGCCAGGCACCUUGUCCACACACAGGGCUUCCUUCCUCCAUGACUUAACCCAGAGAUGUAGACGGCGGGGUCAACAUUAAAUACCACAAACAGGCAAAAGAGCUUCAGACAGAAGGAUCAUCUUCCUGAAGACAAAAUAAUCAUCAUCCUUUGAGGGCAAAGUGGGCAACGUUAUGGGUAUGUAAAAUUGAGAAGCAGCUUUCAUGAGUCCUGAUUUAUUUAUUUAAAAAUCUAAAUUUAUUUUUUUCCUUAGGUAUCUUUUGUUUUGGAAUGGGACUCUACACUAUGGGAUUUCUAGUGGAGAGGACAGUUACCAGAGUCAGCACUGGAGGUAUGGGAAUUUCUAAGCUAGAGAACUGCAGUAGGGAAAAUUGAAAGAUGCUAUUUUGGGGGUCUCACUGAUAGUUAUGAAGCUUAAGUGUUUUUUCCUGGUGUCUUUUUAAGAAGCAUAUGUUAGUUGUAUGCUUUAUGAUAUAAAAAAAGAUAAAGCAUGUAUAGGUAUUUUACAGGCAGAGCAGAGAUGGGGAUAUUCUGAAUGCCCUUACCCCCCAGAAAACAAAAGUUAAGCUACAUAUAUUUUAUAAAGUAAUAGGAGAGGAUACAUCUCUAGGAAAAGUGGGGAGAUAAUGCCCAUAACGUAGCUAGGGCUCUACAUUCCCUUGUUCAAAAUCAACUAUGAUUGCAUUUUACAAUGAAGAACGCAC
rnacentral:lncRNA from 1 species